UCCUCCUUCCACUGUGACCCAAUGGUAGGAAAAUUUGACUCUUCUCAGUCCUCUCUUAUUGUAAUUUAAAGAUGUAGAUCAUGAAACUCUUUUGCACCAAUCCCAAGGUGUCAUACCAAAUGCUCAUACACAAAUGAAGAGUUUUCCUUCUACAGGGAAUCUCUUCCUACUCCUUGGUAAUUGAAGCUUUGUCCCCAAUCAAGACUUCUUGUUGUCUCAUUC
rnacentral:lncRNA from 1 species